CGGGGGAGGCCGGAUCCUGGGCCAGUGCUGGAUCCAGUGCUCCUGGGCCUGCGCUGUUGGAUUCAGGCUCCCGCCCCGCAGCCCCCU
rnacentral:pre_miRNA from 1 species